rnacentral:misc_RNA from 1 species
CACUGGACGAUCUCUACUAUUCACUCCACCCGCGCGCAUAAAGUGAAAAGGGGGUGGGAAGCCAAGCCAACUAAGCCUUGCACUUCAGUGCCCUGCUUCACGUACCUGGUGUCUCUUGCAUAACCCCCGCCUCCCCCCCGACACACACACACACACACACAUAUAUAUAUAUAUAUAUAUAUAUUGGCUGAGACGCGAACUCAUGGCGGGCGCACCACCUGUGUCGUUUGUGCACACGGCGACGCGCACGCUGCUGCACGACAUCCGUACGUUCACGCACUGGGAUCCGGCGGCGAACAAGUUGCAAUGUGCGAUACGGGAUGCCGCCUACCUGGUAAUUGAUCUGCCGCGCUUCUUCAUGUACUCGCACAGCAACUACGGCGCCAUGCGGCGCUACAUCCGUCAGUCUCGCAUUAACAAAGGCAAAGUCAACCCCGAAGACUUCAAGGACGUGGACACGAACGUGCUGCGGGAGAGCCUCAUCAAGUACGCGCAGGCAAAAGGCCCACUGCAGAAGAUUGACUUUCGCUGGUUCUACUGGAUGUACGCCAUCAUGAUCAUCUACGUGGGGUGGCAGGGGAUGUAUCUGCAGUCGCUGCUCGACGCACGCGUGGAUCGGAUGGGCGCCUCACUGGAGCAGCGCCGCGAUAUGUACGACGACGACUACCUCGAGGAGGUGCGCCCGCGUUAGUGCCGUGGUGGACGCGACCCAUAGCGUGAGCACCGAUCAACACCGCUGAGAGGGGAGAGGGAGCGGCAUCCUUGCUGCAUCUCGCCAACGGUUCUUCUCAGUCGAGGUGCCGCUGCUGCGCUGUGAGGCUCACGCCCGUGUUUCGGGGCGUGCCUGCUAAGUUGUUGCAUUGCUUUCGUGAGACGUAUCGUGUUUGUGCUGCGAAGGCAAAGCGGCCCGCUUACGCUGGCCGGCUAUGCCGCUGUCUUCUGCGUCUCUUUUUCGUGUUUUGGCUCGCCUGUCUCUGCCCCACUCACGCACUGACUCACCCGCUUUCUCUCUCUCUCAUGCACGCACGUGUGGGCUUGGGGGCUGCCCAGCUGCUUUUCCUUGUCCCACGGCACGAGGGCUGGGCUGCGGUGAGAAACUCUGGACUUACGCAAAAUCCGCCGCGGGGCAUAGACCGGGGGCCGCGGCCGACAGACACAAGUGUAUGGCUCGUGUGCCGAAUCGCGCAUCCGUUUUAUGAGGGCAGCAGAGACAAGGUAAAGAAAUGGCCGAAACUGCCACCACCACCACCACGGCAGUUCUGAGCGAGCUACGCGGAGCCAAGUGCACGGCGCGUUCGCUGGGUUGGGAGGGAGAAGAAUAAUGAUGACCGAGGAGGCGCGGAGAGCGGGGGCCGGCGCGAGGCGCACUCUUUUUCCAACGACCACUGUCACACAUCGGGGCGGCAACACUGCUCUGCAAAAGGAUCAAGAAAGGUGGCAGCCGAGAAAGCGUAUACCUCCGGUGUGGGCGGUCAUUGCUGCCACAAUCCCAUGUGGUUGUGUGUGCGACCUGCUGCGGGCCAUGCGUGUCAAGGCCGCCGCCGUGAAACUUGAACGCCACGGCACACCCGUGCGGUGGACAUACUCGGUGCAGCACACCGAUACCACCCUCAUCCUCCGCUGCGGAUGCGACUGCUGCACCACCUCCCCUGCUUCCGCCCUCCUACACCUUUUCGUUCUCGUCUGCUGACUGAUUCACCUCACUUGUGCGCGAAAUCAACGAGCAACUAUCCACAAAUCAAACACGGAAAAG